AUUAAGACUCACUGAUUACAUUAACCAUUUUUCUAGGAGAAACGCACAUUGUCCUGUUCUAAGUCAGUAAACCAUCCAAAGCAAUGGUAAUUGUUGCAAUUUUAAUGGGAACUUCGUUAAAGAAUGAAAAUUUAAAGUCGAAAACGAGUAAGACCCAGUUCUUUUCAUUUCACUUUAGAAAAUGCUAAUCGGUAAUUCAAC